GAUGAAGAACGUAGCGAAAUGCGAUAAGUAGUGUGAAUUGCAGAAUUUAGUGAAUCAUCGAAUCUUUGAACGCACAUUGCGCCCUUUGGUAUUCCUUAGGGCAUGCCUGUUCGAGCGUCAUCUACACCCUCAAGCACAGCUUGGUGAUGGGCGCCUGUCCCGCCCCCCACGGGGGCGCGGACUCGCCUCAAAUGCAUUGGCGGCCGGCGACCUGGCUUCGAGCGCAGCAGAAACGCGUACUCGGGGACCGGGCGCCCGCUCCCAGAAGCCAACCCACCCAGUUUGACCUCGGAUCAGGUAGGGAUACCCGCUGAACUUAAGCAUGUCAAUAAGCGGAGGA
rnacentral:misc_RNA from 1 species